CCUGCCCCACGCUCUCCCUGGGCCCUGGCAUCUGUCCAGGCUGCAGUGAGGGGCCCUGUGCAGGCUGUGCGGCCUGGCACCGCUCUGAAGCAGAAUGAAGGGCGGAGAUGGCGGCCCAGAUUUCCCUGCGCAGCAAAAAUAUCAGAAUGGAGUUGACAGAAAGCCAUUGCCUGACUGACGAACCGAGCGCUGAGAGGAGGUGUCAGAAGUACUCCUGCGCCAGGAGGAAAACACACUUGGAGGUUCUGGAUCCAGGAAUGAGGAAGACACUGGUAAAGUCACGAACAGCACUGCGCACUUGGAAGGGGAAAGAUGAAAAAUACUCAAAGUCACGAAGCAAAGAGAAAGAAAAAACAGAACACAGAUCCGUCAGGGAGGGACCAUGCGAAAAUCAGUCAUAUGGCAGAUUAAAGCUCAAGUUUAUCUCUGUUUUGUUACAAGUAAAUGGAUUUCAUGUUCCAAUGGAAGCACAAAGGUGGUCUGAGUAGUUUUGGAAAUACCCGAGGCCGCGUGAACCUUGGGACAAAACAACGGGUCUCGAGAAGUCAUGGAAUCUUUAAAACCAUAAGCCUUAUGUACUUACUUUAUCCACAAGCGAAACAAAUCGUACAAAGUAGGUUCUCCAAUCACAAUGCAAUUAUGCUUUAAACUGUUAACAAAAAUCCAGAAAAUUCUGUGUUUGAAAAUAAACAUUUUUAUCUCUGGGUCACAGAAGACAUGAAGACGGGCACCCGAGCACACCGCAGGUACAUGGGAACAGAUAUGCUCUACAUCAGAGCGCGUGGGAACAGCCGGCCCACGCUUAGAACUCAGGGCUUUACCUCCCUGCCUUACAAACAAGAAAAGAUUCAGCAUUAAUGAAUGAAGCGUACAUCAAAGGAAGUUCUAGAAAGAAGGCAAAUAAAUCGCCCCCAAGUAGCAUAAAGGAACAAGAAAAGAGUCGGAGGGCAGAGUAAUUAAGGAGCAGACCCGGGGGUGCAGAGGCCCUGUAUGCAGGAGGCCAGUUUACCGAAAAUAGUUCUUUGUUGGGAACCUCUAAUAAGGUGUGACUCUGGCGUGACUCUGGCGAAAGCAGUCCAGGAAGAAGGAGGGGCAAGGACCCUAUGGCAGGGGGAAGAACCCGAAGGCUGCGGUCUGAAUGGUUUCGGCUCCUUCAAAUCCCCUGCGAGUGGAGCCUGACCUUCCGCGGGUCGUGUUAGGGGGCGGGGUCUGGGG
rnacentral:lncRNA from 1 species